CCUACGGUGGACAGCAGUGAGGAAUAUUGGUCAAUGGACGAGAGUCUGAACCAGCCAAGUAGCGUGAAGGAUGACUGCCCUAUGGGUUGUACACUUCUUUUAUAUGGGAAUAAAAUGUUCCACGUGUGGGAUUUUGUAUGUACCAUAUGAAUAAGGAUCGGCUAACUCCGUGCCAGCAGCCGCGGUAAUACGGAGGAUCCGAGCAUUAUCCGGAUUUAUUGGGUUUAAAGGGAGCGUAGGUGGAUUGUUAAGUCAGUUGUGAAAGUUUGCGGUUCAACCGUAAAAUUGCAGUUGAAACUGGCAGUCUUGAGUACAGUAGAGGUGGGCGGAAUUCGUGGUGUAGCGGUGAAAUGCUUAGAUAUCACGAAGAACUCCGAUUGCGAAGGCAGCUCACUGGACUGCAACUGACACUGAGGCUCGAAAGUGUGGGUAUCAAACAGGAUUAGAUACCCCAGUAGUC
rnacentral:rRNA from 1 species